UUUUUUUUAAUGACAACUUUUUCUUUAGCAGGUCAAAUUUCUCUCUCUGAACGACAGCCUCAGAAACUCAUCUGCUGGGUUAAGAGUCAGUAAUGUACCUUGCAAACUAGCCUGAUGGUGGCGUUAGACACCUUCAAUGCCAGAACUUGGGAGGCAGAGCAAGGCAAAAAAUCUCUGAGUUGGAAACCAGCCUUGUCUACAGAGUUAGUUCCAGAAAAGAUCAACCAGGGCUACCGAGAGAAAACCUGUCUUGAAACCCCACACCCGAAAAAAAAAGAAAAGAGGAUCUGAGUUUGGUCCCAGAUCCCAUAUUAAAAUAAGAACAGUUUUGCAUGCUUGUAACCUUAUCACUGGAGAGACAGAGACAAGAUAAUCCCAAGGGUUUUCCUGCCAGCUAGUGCGGGACUCUGUCUCACCAUAAAGGUCACUCCUGCUGUCCCGGGCAAGAUCAACUUAAAAAGGGCCCUCCAGUUAAAGCCAACAAUUUGACCAGCUCCUUGAACUUCAUCAUUGCCAGCUGCCUUCUCAUCUCUUCCAAGAAACAGAUGCCUGACGUCUCCAGGAUGGCAGAAAACCAGAGGCCUCUCUAACCACACCUAUCACUUAAUGUGAACCCACCAACUCCCAGCUCUCCCCUCUCCCACGUCGUCCUACGCCCACAGGAAGUAGCCAGACUAGAGAUGAUGCCCCCUUUAUCCACAGAGUCUGGAAUAUUUGGUUGGAAGCAUCACCUCAGCUCCCUGACACCUUUUUAUUCAAAGAGUCUGGAAUGUUGGUUGGUGGCUUCACCCCAGUUUCUGGCAUCCAUUUUUAAAUAUUGUAUGGAAAGUUCUAUUUCAAAGUCCCUACCCUGGGAGUUACCUUAGUCCAAACUCCAACGCCAAGAAAUCCCACCAGUGAUCCCUCCCAAGGAGGGUCAAGACCACUCCCAUUGACUGUUUAAACUGCCCCCCCCCCCCCAGUACAAGCACGUGGCCUUCU